rnacentral:rRNA from 1 species
UUGCCCGAAUCCUGACACAGGGAGGUAGUGACAAGAAAUAACAAUACAGGGCUACUUCUAGUCUUGUAAUUGGAAUGAGUACAACUUACAUCUCUUCACGAGGAUCAACUGGAGGGCAAGUCUGGUGCCAGCAGCCGCGGUAAUUCCAGCUCCAGAAGCGUAUAUUAAAGCUGUUGCAGUUAAAGCGCUCGUAGUCGGGUUUCGGGUCGGGCCGAGCGGUCUGCCGAUGGGUAUGCACUGUUUGGCGCGGCCUUCUUUCCGGAGACCGCGGCUACUCUUAACUGAGCGGGCGUGGGAGACGGAUCGUUUACUUUGAAAAAAUCAGAGUGUUUCAAGCAGGCAGCUCGCUCUUGCAUGGUACAGCAUGGGAUGAUUGAAUAGGACUCCGGUGCUAUUUUGUUGGUUUCGAACACCAGGAGUAAUGAUUAACAGGGACAGUCAGGGGCACUCGUAUUCCGUCGAGAGAGGUGAAAUUCUCAGACCAAUGGAAGACGAACCACUGCGAAAGCAUUUGCCAGGGAUGUUUUCACUGAUCAAGAACGAAAGUUAGGGGAUCGAAGACGAUCAGAUACCGUCGUAGUCUUAACCAUAAACCAUGCCGACUAGGGAUUGGAGGGUGUUCGUUUCGACCUCUUCAGCACCUUACGGGAAACUAAAGUCUUUGGGUUCCGGGGGGAGUAUGGUCGCAAGGCUGAAACUUAAAGGAAUUGACGGAAGGGCAC